rnacentral:rRNA from 1 species
GACGAACGCUGGCGGCGUGCCUAACACAUGCAAGUCGAGCGGAGGUACUUGAGGAGUAAUCUGAGGGUACUUUAGCGGCGGACGGGUGAGUAACGCGUGAGCAACCUGCCUUUCACAGGGGGAUAAGGCGGCGAAAGCCGCUCUAAUACCGCAUGAGACCACGGUAUGAUGUACCAGGGGUCAAAGGAGCAAUCCGGUGAAAGAUGGGCUCGCGUCCGCUUAGGUAGUUGGUGGGGUAAAGGCUCACCAAGCCAAUGAUCGGUAGCCGGCCUGGGAGGGGGUGCGGCCACAUUGGAACUGGGGGACGAGCCAAACUCCUGCGGGAGGGAGCAGUGGGGAAUAUUGGGCAAAGGGGGAAACCCUGGACCAGCAACGCCGCGUGAGGGAAGAAGGUUUUCGGAUUGUAAACCUCUGUUCGUGGGGAAGAGAAGAAGACGGUACCCAAGGAGGAAGCCCCGGCUAACUACGUGCCAGCCGCCGCCGUAAUAC